UGUGUGUUUGUUUGUGUGUUUGUGUGUUUGUUUGUUUAAAAAGGGUCGGGUUUGGAGCCUCAGAGUGGCGCGGUCCUUUCUGGCUGCGCCCUCUAGUGCGGCUGUCGGGAAUGGCGUCUCCUCCUUUUCCCGCGGGCGCGCUCCCCCCUGGUCCGAAGCCACACUGCAGCCCAGCAGCCUGGCCAGGCCCUCCCCAGGCAAAGCCGAGAGCCGGCCCUGCUUUUUGGGCACCCCUGGACUCGACCUGGGGGACGCCUGACGUCUGCCUGGACAGGGAGUCCUGACAUUUCCCCGGGGACUGACGGGGCUGAGAUCCUGCCCGGGCUUCCCACUCUCUGGUCGUCCUCGCCGGCGAAGCGAGGCUCCCACUGCAGGGCCCUGAUCUCUUCCCUUGUUGGGACUGCUUUGCUUCCGGGCCCAAACGAGGAUCCAGGAAACGUGCCUGCAGGAGCCCUCCUGCGCUCCGGAGUCCACGCAAAGGCGGAGUGAGGCCUGCGGGCCCUGCAGGCGGGGAGGCAGGCCAGCCUGCGUGGGGGAGGGCGUGUACUCCCAGGAGAGGCUGGAAGGGUUCGAGGCGGAAACCCAGCUGGUCUCCAGCCCCGCGCAGAGCGUGACCACCGAACCGCGAAGCUGAGAGAGCAGGCGUCCAGGAGGACCGCGGGGAAGCCUUCACGCCUGCGCCAGCUCUGCUGUUUAAAUAGUGCCCCUGAGUCACCACUCCCUGGGUGCCAGGAUUUAGCAGCCCGGUGCGAUCCUAUCGCAAGUUUCCUGGCCCUCCUCACUUUACCUCCGAAACCUGUUUUGGUGACUGAUGCAGCCUUAUCGGCCCCUUCUACCCUUCCGAUUGGGGAUCGGAUCUCCUGGCCAGCAUUCCUGCCUUCAGACUGUCUGGCUGGAGGCAUUUCCCUUCGCUGCUUAACAAACUUGUUUUCUGCAGCCUGGAGGGGGACGGGGGGGGGGGGGGCUAGUUUUGUUGGUUUGUUUCCAGCACAGGCUAAGAUCACUGCUUUCUGGGAAGUUUCCAGAUGUUUCGGGGCAUCAAGCUUUUCGUUUCCCAAGGGUCUCGCCGGUCUCAAAUCUGUGACCCUCCUGUGUCAGCCUCUCAACUGCUGAACCAGCACACUUGGCUACUUCUCUGGCUUCGUCAAUGGAUGUCCUGAGUCAUCCACGCUAUCUCUCUGCUCCACAUCGCAGGAAUCAUAUUUAGAAGAGGGCAUAGAUCGGACAGCUGAAACAUGUCUUUUCCUCUAGGCAAACCUAACCUUUCACCAUACCCAGCGUUACCUACAAGGUUCCAGCCCACUCUCCUCGAAGCAAUCAAAACUCUCUUCUCUUCUACAGUCUCUGAAAACAGACUUGUAAGCAAGACCAGAUCCAGGUCCGUGGACCUCAGUGAACAGGGCCUGAGCUCCACAGAACCAGCGAGGGACUCAGCCCUCCUUCCACCGUGUUCAUACAGCACCAACACAUGACUUCCCCAGCCUGGGACAGAGGAACUGCAGUUGGCUCUGUGGGGAAACAGCUCCUGGGGAAUCACCACAAAGGCCCCUCCCCCAGGUUUGCUUUGUGCCGUGUGCCAGGCACUCCUCGCGCCUCUCUACCCUUCUGGACCCUGAGUCUAAGCACCCCUCCACAGGGAGGAGCAGCUGCGAACCUUCCCAACUUUAAGGAAUAGAAAAGCUGCCCUUCCGGUGCCAUAGGAGCUAUUUCAGUGAGAAAGACCCGCCUUUGACUUUCCUAUCAAAGAAAUGAACUUCAAACUGUGUAACACAGACAGCAGUUGCAGUGUGCUCCUGAGACUUUGGGCAGCGCAGGGCUCCUGUAAGCCCCUUUACCUGGACGGUCUUACAGAAGAGAAGCCACUUACUCCAUGGUAGACAGUGAAUCUAAAAACAACAACAAAUCCCAUCCCUUGACCACGCUCCUCUGUCCCAGUUUCAAAACACGAGCACCCUUGGGUGGAUGCUCUCAAACUCCACUAUGAUUCCUUUCCCUGCUGGUCCUCUUCGAAUUAGAAAUUCUAUCUGUUAUGUUUAAUCACAUGGAUAAAAACGCUGGUACACAAAACUAAGCCCUAAAUCCAAAACUGGAAGUUUAUCAAAUAGCUGAAAAAUAAAUAAAAAUGUUGUUUUUAAAGAAGACUUAUAAAACUGGUCUCCUCCUCCCCCAACUUAGGAAGUUCAGGGCCCAACGCUUCCCUAUAAAUAGUUGUCAAUAAACACAACUGCUGCAAAUGUAUUCAGUAAAUGUUAAGGUCAAAGGCCUUCACUGUUUAUUGCCUUGUAAACUCAAAGACAAGUGAAUUUAUUGCUUGAAUGAGUUUCAGGGUAUUGGCCUUCAUAAAAGUUCUGAAUCCCAGGUACAAACCCUCCAUCCGCUCGCACCAAAGCUACUCCGCACAGAGCGGAGCGACCGCCCACCGUCAGAUUUAUAAUUUAGACACGUCUCGGGAAGGGUAUUGUUUGCCAUGUUGCAGAGAUCCCCAUGGAUUAGGACUGUGUGAGCCUGCCAUUAUUACAAGAACUUGCUUCAACUAAACUAUAAAUUGCAGCUGCUUCUUAGGCCAUACAACACCGUAGCCUACUCAUGACAGCACUCUAAAACCAAAUAAAAAAAGCCAAGAAUGCAAGAGCUCCUUCGCAUCUUGUCCUCGCAUGGGGGAAUGGCGGUAAUCUUUUCAAAAUGAAACCUGACAAAUUGGAAAAGGACAACUUUCCCGGCAGAUCACAUAGGAGUGCACAGACUGACUCAAACACCUACCUUUAUAUUAUUCAAAACCUAAUUUUUUUUUUAAUAUUCUGAAAUGUCACUUGACAGUUUUAUGUAACAGCAUCCCGGUUUCACCAACAACCGUUCAAUGCAGUGGCUUUAGAAAUCUCUGUAGACAAUGUGUGAGGAAAAUUCAAACUUAAAAAUUACCAUAUAAUCUUUCGCACUUUUCACUGGUCUGUGUCUGUGUUAAUCUUUUCCUAGCAGGUAGAAAAUUUACAGUUGAAUCUAUUUCUGUGAAUAAAGCCCAAUCUGGCUUAUUAAAACAUAAAGAAAUUGUAUAACAUAUAAAGAAGUGCUCAACUUUAAUCAUCUUGAACAUGAACAAAAGCAACAAAAAAAAAAAAAACAAAA